GGAAGCAUGGAGUCUUAACCACUGGGGUGCCAGGGAAGUCCUGUAAAGUCCCUCUUUUACUUUGCUGUCUCAGCGAGAGAAAGACGGCCCCCUGCCAGGACUUGCCAGUCUGAUUGUCAUCCACUCCAACUCUUCUGUUUCUCUGAGGCCCAGUGCAGCCAGUCCACGCCUGCUUCCCCGCCACAGCCCAGCACUGAGCCCCGGGGGGCGGAGGCCUUCGUCCACUGAAGUCUUGAACCCCUCAAAGUCAUCUAAGAGAGUUGUAGUCAACUACUCCCAGGCUCCUCUUAAUGUUGAUAUUUUGACCUCUUCUGAUGAAUCAUGAAUGUUCUUCAUGGCAUCUAAAAUGCCACACCCUAUGGCAUGUAGCCAUACCCCAACCAGGGAUCCAAC
ensembl:lncRNA